CGGCAAUGGGAGAGGCCGCAGCGGUGAGAGGCCCGCGUACCGCAAAAAACAGAAAAAAAAAAAAGACCAGCUUUGCUGCAGUUUUGGUUCAUGGGGCGCUCAAACAUGUUACUGAGCCCAAGCUCAUACUACUCGCCGCCCAACAGGCUAAUAAAUGGAGAGACGAGUUGUUGGGACAAGGAAUAGACAAUUUAUUCAGAAAGCCAGAAAACUGAGAAGAUGGCGGGCUCGUGCCCCAAAGAACCAUCUUGCCUGAGUUAGAAUUCAGGCUUUUUUUUUUUUUUUUUUUUCCUCUCCAGGCUUCUUUUAUACUGAAAGGGGAGGGCGUAAAGUCAAACACUUCCUGGUUCCCGUCAGCCUCUGGAGGGGAUGUGUUAUUCGUUCACAGGUGAGCCUGGCCAGCUAAACAAAGGAGCUACCAUCACCAUCCUGCCACCACAUGGAAUCUUGCAUGAAGCCAACAUGGUAGCAAUCACAGCUGAGAGAUGGAGGAAGAUUGGGAGCUGAUGACAUCAUUUGAGCCCCUGAAUGAAGCCAAUACAUUCUAUGUUUCUUAACGUGGUUUCUGUUACUUCCAAUUCAAAAUGUUCAAUAAAAGAUAAGUUAGAAACUCUUUUAACUGA